AGGCUUAUAAAGGAGUUUGACUUGUUG
rnacentral:piRNA from 1 species